rnacentral:sRNA from 1 species
UUGACAGUUCUGGAAACUGAAGUACUCUAUGCACAGAAUAGUUACAGCACGAGCAAGCAUAGUGCAAAUUUCCCCACACUAUCAUGCUGCUGUACCUAAACAACACUCUUGUUGUGGCACCUCAUCUUGAAUAGAGAGAAUUAUUGUCUCCAUGACCCAUUCAGUCCUUAAUUUCU